GCUCGACCCUUAGGGCUGCGGACCCCCGCCUCUCUCGGCGCUACUCUGGCGUCACCAUGGCUACUCCAGGACGAGGCCAAGUUUUCUCGGCCCCUUUAAGAGAACAGACUGCUACCCGAGAGCGCCUUCCCGCGCCUGUAGGAGCUUGCGUCACCAUGGAACAGCGGGAGCAAGCGGCAGCUGCUGAGACCCUGACAGGCGCUGGUGCUGUGCGAUUCUGAGAUUGGAGAGGAAGUUUCCUGAUGUGUACUCUAAUCUCUAGUAAAUGAAACACCAAUGUGCUUGAGGGUACAGUGAAACUGUUUCUACCACAAAUAAAAACCACCGAGGAACAUGGCUUUAUCCUUUAAAGCCUUCUAGUCCAGCUAGCAG
rnacentral:lncRNA from 1 species